UACAGAGGGUGCGAGCGUUAAUCGGAAUUACUGGGCGUAAAGCGUGCGUAGACGGUAGCGUAAGUCAGAUGUGAAAGCCCCGGGCUCAGCCUGGGAACUGCAUUUGAGACUGCUCUGCUCGGGUGCGGAAGAGGGAAGCGGAAUUUCCGGUGUAGCGGUGAAAUGCGUAGAUAUUCGGAAGAACACCAGUGGCGAAGGCGACUUACUGGACACAUAUUGACGCUGAGGUGCGAAAGCGUGGGGAGCAAACAGG
rnacentral:rRNA from 1 species